rnacentral:rRNA from 1 species
AGUGAACGCUGGCGGCGUGCCUAAUACAUGCAAGUCGAACGGAGUGGCGCACGGGUGAGUAAUGUAUAGCUCAUCUGCCCUACACUAGAGGACAACAGUUGGAAACGACUGCUACUACUCUAUAGUGUAGGAUGAGGGUAUAUUGUAUCAGCUAGUUGGUGAGGUAAUGGUUCCCCACGGCUAUGACGCAUAACUGGUCUGAGAGGAUGAUCAGUCACACUGUAACUGAGACACGGUAGAGAAUCCUACGGGAGGCAGCAAGAGGGAAUAUUGCUCAAGGGGGGAAACCCUGAAGGAGCAACGCAGCGUGGAGUAUGACAAUUUUCGGAGCGUAAAAUCCUUUUGUUAGGGAGGCGUUACCUAACGAAUAAGCACCGGCUAACUCCGUGCCAGCAGCCGCGGUAAUUC